rnacentral:lncRNA from 1 species
AAGGUUAUAUCUAGCUAGUACUACCGCGCUUGGACUGCCUGCGCAGGCAGAUGUGGCCGACAGUUUUUGGAUAUCGCGCAUCGCCUGUUUAUGUGGCCGUUCGGGCCGGCAGUUUCGUGGACCUCGCGCAUCGACUGCUUGUGAGGACGUAUGGGCCGGCAGUUUUCGUGGAAUUGCGCAUCGCCUGUUUAUGUGGCCGUUCGGGCCGGCAGUUUCGUGGACCUCGCGCAUCAACUGCUUGUGAGGCCGUAUGGGCCGGCAGUUUCGUGGACCUCGCGCAUCAACUGCUUAUGAGGCCGUUCGGGCCGGCAGUUU